rnacentral:rRNA from 1 species
GGAAGUCUUCCACAAUGGACGAAAGUCUGAUGGAGCAACGCCGCGUGAGUGAAGAAGGGUUUCGGCUCGUAAAACUCUGUUGUUAAGAAGAACAUAUCUGAGAGUAACUGUUCAGGUAUUGACGGUAUUUAACCAGAAAGCCACGGCUAACUACGUGCCAG